rnacentral:rRNA from 1 species
UACGUAGGGGGGCAAGCGUUGUCCGGAUUUAUUGGGCGUAAAGAGCGUGUAGGCGGCCAGGUAGGUCGGUUGUGAAAACUAGAGGCUCAACCUCUAGACGUCGAACCGAAACCACUUGGCUAGAGUCCGGAAGAGGAGAGUGGAAUUCCUGGUGUAGCGGUAGAAAUGCGCAGAUAUCAGGAAGAACACCCGUGGCGAAGGCGGCUCUCUGGGACGGUACUGACGCUGAGACGCGAAAGCGUGGGGAGCGAACAGG